rnacentral:rRNA from 1 species
UACGGAGGGGGCUAGCGUUGCUCGGAAUUACUGGGCGUAAAGGGCGCGUAGGCGGAUGUUUAAGUCGGGGGGUGAAAGCCCAGGGCUCAACCCUGGAAUUGCCUUCGAUACUGGACAUCUUGAGUGCGGGAGAGGUGAGUGGAACUCCGAGUGUAGAGGUGAAAUUCGUAGAUAUUCGGAAGAACACCAGUGGCGAAAGGCGACUCACUGGCCCGUUACUGACGCUGAUGCGCGAAAGCGUGGGGAGCAAACAGG